CCUACGGGUGGCAGCAGUGGGGAAUAUUGCACAAUGGGCGCAAGCCUGAUGCAGCCAUGCCGCGUGUGUGAAGAAGGCCUUCGGGUUGUAAAGCACUUUCAGCGGGGAGGAAGGCGGUGAGGUUAAUAACCUCAUCGAUUGACGUUACCCGCAGAAGAAGCACCGGCUAACUCCGUGCCAGCAGCCGCGGUAAUACGGAGGGUGCAAGCGUUAAUCGGAAUUACUGGGCGUAAAGCGCACGCAGGCGGUCUGUCAAGUCGGAUGUGAAAUCCCCGGGCUCAACCUGGGAACUGCAUUCGAAACUGGCAGGCUAGAGGCUUGUAGAGGGGGGUAGAAUUCCAGGUGUAGCGGUGAAAUGCGUAGAGAUCUGGAGGAAUACCGGGGGCGAAGGCGGCCCCCUGGACAAAGACUGACGCUCAGGUGCGAAAGCGUGGGGAGCAAACAGGAUUAGAACCCGUGUAGUC
rnacentral:rRNA from 1 species